rnacentral:rRNA from 1 species
UACGUAGGUGGCGAGCGUUGUCCGGAUUUAUUGGGCGUAAAGCGCGUGCAGGUGGUUGGUUAAGGCCGAUGUGAAAUCUCCCGGCUCACCUGGGAGGGUGCGUUGGCGACUGGCCGACUGGAGGCAGGUAGAGGCCGGUGGAAUUCCCGGUGUAGUGGUGAAAUGCGUAGAUAUCGGGAGGAACACCAGUGGCGAAGGCGGGUCUCUGGGCCGAUACUGACGCUGAGGAGCGAAAGCGUGGGGAGCGAACAGG